rnacentral:rRNA from 1 species
AACGAACGCUGGCGGCAGGCCUAACACAUGCAAGUCGAACGCAUCGCAAGAUGAGUGGCGCACGGGUGAGUAACACGUGGGAAUGUAUCCUUUGGUUCGGAAUAACGUCUGGAAACGGACGCUAAUACCGGAUGAGCCCUUAGGGGGAAAGAUUUAUCGCCGAAGGAGCAGCCCGCGUCUGAUUAGGUAGUUGGUGGGGUAAAGGCCUACCAAGCCGACGAUCAGUAGCUGGUCUGAGAGGCGGAUCAGCCACACUGGGACUGAGACACGGCCCAGAGUCCUGCGGGAGGCAGCAGUGGGGAAGAUUGGACAAUGGGCGCAACCCUGGUCCAGCCAUGCCGCGUGGGUGAUGAAGGCCUUCGGGUUGUAAAGCUCUUUCGCACACGACGAUAAUGACGGUACCCGGAGAAGAAGCCCCGGCUAACUUCGUGCCAGCCGCCGCAGUAAGAC